AUUGAACGCUGGCGGAAUGCUUUACACAUGCAAGUCGAACGGUAAGGCCCUUCGGGGUACACGAGUGGCGAACGGGUGAGUAACACGUGGGUGAUCUGCCCUGCACUUCGGGAUAAGCCUGGGAAACUGGGUCUAAUACCGGAUAGGACCCUGGGAUGCAUGUCCUGGGGUGGAAAGCUUUUGCGGUGUGGGAUGGGCCCGCGGCCUAUCAGCUUGUUGGUGGGGUGAUGGCCUACCAAGGCGACGACGGGUAGCCGGCCUGAGAGGGUGACCGGCCACACUGGGACUGAGAUACGGCCCAGACUCCUACGGGAGGCAGCAGUGGGGAAUAUUGCACAAUGGGCGCAAGCCUGAUGCAGCGACGCCGCGUGAGGGAUGACGGCCUUCGGGUUGUAAACCUCUUUCAGCACCGACGAAGCGCAAGUGACGGUAGGUGCAGAAGAAGGACCGGCCAACUACGUGCCAGCCGCCGCCGUAA
rnacentral:rRNA from 1 species